CGGUAGUGUCGGUUAUGUUCAAUAAAAAUAAAAAAAAACACACAUGGCCUGUUCUCAAGUCCAUUUAAAGUUUCAUUUUUUGAACAGUUGUUUGAAUUGGAUUGAAUCAUUAUUUAAAAUAAUCUUGGAGAUUUUUGAAAUGCCUAAAUCAUAAAGGGAGCCGGGUUGAAGCCUUUUUCUUUUAUGACAGCCGUCCCCUCUGCAUACCGUAUUUUUCGGACUGUAAGUCGCAUCUAAGAAUACAUCAAAAAUACAUCAUGAUGAGGAAAAAAAACAUAUAUAAGUCGCACUGGACUAUAAAUCGCAUUUAUUUAGAACCAAUAAAAAACAUUACCGUCUACAGCCGCAAGAGGGCGCUCUAUGUUUUCAGUGUAGACUACAGCAGAACUGAGCAGCAUAGAGCGCCCUCUGGUGGCUGGAGACAGUAAUGUUUUCUCUUGAUUCAUUUUUCUUAGUCCAUUUCUCUUGGUUCAUGUCAAAUUAAUUUUGAUAAGUCGCACCUGACUAUAAGUUGCAGGACCAGCCUAACUAUGAAAAAAAAAGUGCGACUUAUAAUACGGUAUAUAUUUUUCCGAGAAUGUUGCACUCCUGUUGCUGUUUGUUAUUCUGCACGAAACUUCUUGCCAAUAAAUAAGAAAUACUGCUGACUUUUUGCGUUUCCAGUGCUUUCUUCACGUUUGUCCGUUAUUUGGCGUUGAAAAAGGAAACGUCUUUUUUUAGACAUGGAAAAUCGAUUUUACAAUCGAUUCAAUGAACACUUGUAUCUUAAAAAUCGAAAAUGAUUUUUUCACAAAAGUGACAGCCCUCAUCAACUGUGUUCCUUAUGAGUUUUUAACUUUGAACUGCGUUUCCUUUCGUAGGUGGAUAUGGAGGAGGAAGAGGUGGUUACGGUGGAGGUGAUGGAUAUAAUGGCUACGGAGGGAAUGGUGGCUAUGGUGGAGGUGGACCUAAUUACGGAGGCAACCGCGGUUAUGGAGGAGGCGGCGGAGGUGGUGGUGGUGGUGGCUAUGGAAACCAGGGUGGAGGCUACGGUGGCGGCGGUGGCUAUGAUAACUACAACAGUGGAGGUGGAGGCAACUUCGGAGGAGGCAACUUUGGAGGUGGCGGGGGCUACAACGACUUCGGCAGCUACAACAAUCAAUCUUCCUCUAACUACGGCCCGAUGAAGGGAGGAAACUAUGGAGGUGGUGGAAGGAGC
rnacentral:lncRNA from 1 species